UUUGAUGGCGACCGGCGCACGGGUGAGUAACACGUAUCCAACCUGCCGAUGACUCGGGGAUAGCCUUUCGAAAGAAAGAUUAAUACCCGAUGGCAUAGUUCUUCCGCAUGGUGGAACUAUUAAAGAAUUUCGGUCAUCGAUGGGGAUGCGUUCCAUUAGGUUGUUGGNGGGGUAACGGCCCACCAAGCCUUCGAUGGAUAGGGGUUCUGAGAGGAAGGUCCCCCACAUUGGAACUGAGACACGGUCCAAACUCCUACGGGAGGCAGCAUG
rnacentral:rRNA from 1 species